GUAGACUGCUGAGGUGAUCUGAGGAGAGAUUGUAUGCUGUGCUGAAGUCACGAUGUGAACUGUCACAGAUGGGAAAUGUUAACAACAAGCGUUAGCUCACUGGAGUUGGAUUUAUUCAAAUGCUGUCGUUCUUGCUAAUAGAUUAUAGAUACAUCUCAGUCCUUUUUUUUUCCUUUUUAGAAGUUCCUGCCGAGGUCAUCAUCUACUCAUGGAACAAUGGUACUAGCAGCCAAAGAAUCCAGCAGGGCAUUGAACAGCAGAAGAUUCACAGCAGACAAGUUUCCCCUCCUGUGUACACAGAUUUGAAAUAACAGUGGAAGCCAUUCCAUCGCCAAUGUGUAUAAAACUAUGAGUUUAGUAUACCAUUAAAAUCUAUAUUAAUUUUUGGCA